rnacentral:lncRNA from 1 species
AUCAGCGUCUGGAGAUCGGUGCAGAGCGAAACUUCCACGUUGUGGUGGGCUCCGGCAGCACCUCCGAUGAAAGGAUGGCCUAAUGGUGAAUCUCUCUGCGCAAAAUGAAAAAUGGGCUGAAUCUGAUGAACUGAAAACUAAAUGGGCUUCAUCCUGAGUGCCCAGAGGCCUGCAGCACGUUAGGCUCCUCGCAAUAGGCACGGUCGUAACCCCCAUGUGAAAGGACUUUAUAGAGGCUUCGAAAACCAUCACGGGAGAUGGGCAAGAAAGACGUUCAGAUCCCAAUUCACCUUUUUGUUUUAUAGAUAGCUGCAUAGAUAGGAAGAAUUCAGAGCAUCAGGCUAUAGGAACAUACCCGUUCCUGAGGGGGUGGGAGUAGGCCCCGAGGCCCUGCUCCUGCGCUGCAGCGAGGCACCACAGAGCAGGAGCCCACUCCACCAUGAGGUACUCCUGGGACGGCGGUAGAUGUAGGAUCUGCCUUAACACAGGAGGAAAUGCAAGGAUGCAAGGUCUUUACGGGAGCAAUUUUGCAUCAGAAACACUUGAUCCAAAGCCAGAUAAACGCGAAGACUGCAGUAUGGCUGGCAUCACCUGUACCUGUACUAACACGUUUCACUGGAGGACGCUCCUUUUCAGCAGGCUGUGUGCUGGAAGUUCUGGGUUAUGAGCUUCACAGAUGAAAUGAGCAGGGCUGCAACCAUUACUGAACGUGCUUCCUUAUGGGGUGACAUCAAUUCCUUGCUGCUCUGGAGUUAAAUAGGUGCCAGCUAAUGAGUUAUUGAUCAUUUGAUUGAAAGUGAGGGGUUGAAGAGACCGACAUCGUGGAAGGAUAACCCUCUGCCUGCCGAAUUCACGUAGCCAUCACUCAGGGCUUAUCAAAGUCAGAUAUCAAAAAAAAAAACCCUUCCGAGGUCAUCUAAUCUGCCUGCCAAUAUCCCUUGUAAAUAUGGCUGGUCCAGAAAAAGGAUAAAAAAUGUUAUUUGUAAAGUUGAAACGUUCCAUGUGAAUACAUAUAUUUGGAGGAAAUAAAUGAAUAAAUAGGCAAAACUGAAAUGAAAUG